GUGGGGAAUCUUCCGCAAUGGACGAAAGUCUGACGGAGCGACGCCGCGUGAGUGAAGAAGGCCUUCGGGUCGUAAAGCUCUGUCAUCAGGGACGAACGGCCGGUGGAGUGGAAAGCCACCGGAUUGACGGUACCUGAGAAGGAAGCCACGGCUAACUACGUGCCAGCAGCCGCGGUAAUACGUAGGUGGCAAGCGUUGUCCGGAAUUAUUGGGCGUAAAGCGCGCGCAGGUGGGAUCUUAAGUCCAUUUUUAAAGUUCGGAGCUCAACUCCGUGAUGGGAUGGAAACUGGGAUUCUUGAGUACCGGAGAGGAAAGCGGAAUUCCCCGUGUAGCGGUGAAAUGCGUAGAUAUGGGGAGGAACACCAGUGGCGAAGGCGGCUUUCUGGACGACAACUGACGCUGAGGCGCGAAAGCCAGGGGAGCAAACGGGAUUAGAUACCCGGGUAGUCC
rnacentral:rRNA from 1 species